rnacentral:lncRNA from 1 species
CUGCCUGCCUGUCCCCUCUCUCCCCAGGCUGGAAUUGUGUUGUUUCACAAAGCAGAUAUUUUCAGGGCGGGUUGUGUCCCUUCUUCGAAAUGCAGGGGGUGCCGGAGAACAAUGGAGAGUGGAGAACGGGAGAGCCGGUGUUGUGUAUUUCCAGCUGAAAGAGUGGAGGCAAGGUCUCAGUUGAAGUGCAGUAUUAGGGGGUGGCAGGCAUGCCGCUGCAGUAAUCGAGGGAACAGUGGCCACAUCAAAGAGUACACAGUGGAGUUAACAGUCCAGCAUACAGUGAGUGAAGUUUCAGAAGUCCAGGUUUUGUCUGUGCUCCUGACUGGAUGUACCAGUGAAAAUGCCUUUGAAGACCCCAGGGUCCAGACCUGUGAGAAACCCCAGGCUGUGACAUGAGCUGUACAGACCAGGACUCGCAGACCAGAGCAUCACCAGUGUACGGACACACUUCAGUCCUCAGCCAGCUCCCUGUGGCUUGCUGAGUGUCUGUGAAAUUGCACGGGUUUAAUAUCGCCUGCAGAUUCCAUUAAAUCACCAAUUUCUUAGGACUUGGAAGAAUUUCGAUAUGAUUAAUUAAACAGGCAAUUUUGUUAAACUAAGAGAUUAUUCAAGGACCAAUAUCUGAGUACCCUUCAACUUUCAAGGACUGGGGUUCUCUUAAAUGAACAGAUGACUUGCUCAAUUCAUCAAUAACUUCUAAUCUUUAGAAGAAGGUGACUUAUAAAAAUAACUGUUGGAGUCUACCUGCGGCCAGGGUUGCAAACUAGAAGGUCUUAGCUGGAGGUGAACGUGGCGUGGGGGAAACAGUCACUCUGAUCCAUGGUUGCACAAUGCCUUCAUAUGGAGCAGAGGAUGACUGUAGCAUAGUAUGUCUGGCUUUCUGUUCCCAGUACAAUCAAGACUGGCUAGGACAGCCUUCUCUGUAGGGCUGAGAGCGUCAGAGGAGUAAUGGAGAUGACACCGGUCAGCUUUCCGAGCCACAAUCAGCGCUGUGGACAUGGGUCGAAGCUGAAAAGAAAGAAAUGAGAAUUCUGCGGAGCUGGUGCAGAACGCUCUUGAAACAGCUUCUUGCAAGAAGC